CAAAAACAUGUCCUUUUGAUAAUAUUUUAAGGUCUGGUCUGCUCACUGAUUUUUUAAAGAGCCGCGGUAUAUUGACCGUGCAAAGGUAGCAUAAUCAUUAGUCUCUUAAUUAGAGGCUGGAAUGAAUGGCUUGACGAAGGAUCUACUGUCUCUUAAUAAAAUUUAUAAUUUAACUUUUAAGUUAAAAGGCUUAAAUUUUUCUUUAGGACGAGAAGACCCUAUAGAGCUUAACAUUUAAUUUAUAUAUAUAUAUUUAGUUUGUCUUUUUGUAUAUUUUGUUAAUGUUUUGUUGGGGUGACAUGAAGAAUAAAUAAACUCUUCAUUUUAAAAUCAUUGAUUUAUGUAUGUUUUGAUCCAUAAUUUAUGAUCAUAAGAUUAAGUUACCUUAGGGAUAACAGCGUAAUUGUUUUUAAGAGCUCGUAUCAACAAAGCAGAUUGCGACCUCGAUGUUGGAUUAAGAAAAGUUUUGAGUGC
rnacentral:rRNA from 1 species